rnacentral:rRNA from 1 species
UACGGGGGGGGGCAAGCGUUGUUCGGAUUUACUGGGCGUAAAGGGCGCGUAGGCGGCGUGACAAGUCACUUGUGAAAUCUCCGGGCUUAACCCGGAGCGGCCAAGUGAUACUGUCGUGCUAGAGUCCGGAAGAGGAGAGCGGAAUUCCUGGUGUAGCGGUGAAAUGCGCAGAUAUCAGGAGGAACACCCGUGGCGAAGGCGGCUCUCUGGGACGGUACUGACGCUGAGACGCGAAAGCGUGGGAGCGAACAG